GGGGCGCUGGCGCAACGGUAGCGUGUGAGAUUCCAGUUAAAGGCUGAAGUUAAGAAGAUUUCAGAAGCUCUGUUCGAGCGUGCCUAGGACCCUCCUCAAGGUUUUCGGUUCAAAUCCGGAGUGCCUCA